AGACCAUUUUUAAAGGUUAGAAUGCUAAAAUCCUAAUACAUUUGUUACUUUUGUCUCACAUAAUGAUAACUGAGGGAAUUUUGCUUAUCAUUCACAAUCCUCAUGUGAGACAAGAAUAUGUUUUUCUUUUUUGAAUGCUCGCAAACGUCAGCUAACGAUGGAGCUCUAUUCCCCCUAUAAAGUGCUUUAAAAACAUCCAAACACCUCCAUCAAGGUUUUAUAUACACACUGUAAGUAUAUAUGUAGUAUCUGUUAACAAUCGUAAUAACAUGUAAUAUUUACAUUUUUAGCAUGCGGCUAUUAAUUUUACAGAGGCAUCACAACGUUCACUUUUCCUUCAACAACAACAAGACUACUAAUCAUGGCAGACUUAAUGAGCGGCAACAAGGACUAGUUUGGGACAAAUGAUGAUCCAGAAACUUCGAUUUCUGGAUUGGGGGCUAAAUGGAAGGUUUUAGCACUAUCCUGAACCCCCUCUGUCAAGUUUACGUGGCCUACCACUUGGUGGCUGAGUUGCUGUUGUUCCCAAACUCUUCACUUUUCUUAUUAAUAAAGCCGACAGUUGACUCCGGAAUAUUUAGGAGAGAGGAAAUUUCACGACUGGACUUGUUGCGCUGGUGGCAUCCUAUGACAGUUCCACGCUGGAAAUCACUGAAAGCGGCCCAUUCUUUCACAAAUGGUUGAAGAAACAGUCUCCAUGCAUACGUGCUUGAUUUGAUACACCGGGCCAAGUGAUUAGGACACCUAGUUGUCAUCAUUUGGGAUGUCUGGACAAAUAUUUUUGGCAAUAUAGUGCAUGAUGGCAGCAUUAAAGGCCUACUGUAAUGAGAUGUUCUUAUUUAAACGGGGAUAGCAGGUCCAUUCUAUGUGUCAUACUUGAUCAUUUCGCGAUAUUGCCAUAUUUUUGCUGAAAAGAUUUAGUAGAGAACAUCGAUGAUAAAGUUUGCAACUUUUGGUCGCUAAUAAAAAAGCCUUGCCUGUACCGGAAGUAGCAGACGAUGUGCGUGUGACGUCACGGGUUGUGGAGCUCCUCACAUCUGAACAUUGUUUACAAUCAUGGCCACCAGCAGCGAGAGCGAUUCGGACCGAGAAAGGGACGAUUUUCCCAUUAAUUUGAGUGAGGAUGAAAGAUUUGUGGAUGAGGAAAGUGAGAGUGAAGGACUAGAAAAAAAACAAAAACUAGACGGCAGAUUGAUUUACUAGGAUAAUUCUGGAAAAUCCUUUAUCUGCUUAUUGUGUUGCUAGUGUUUUAGUGAGAUUAUUAUGGUAUUAUGGUACUUGAAUGUUGGAGGGGUGUGGUGACCGCCAGUGUCUCCGAGGGUAGCCACGUUUCUCGAUGAGGCGAAGGCAGCCAGUGGGGCCGGGCUAAGAUUUUAAUUUUUUUUCCCUCCUCCAUGGUGGAAGCCUCCAACAGUCAGGGGCGGCCGGUGGGAGGAGGCAAGAGAGUCCGCAGCUGCUUCUUUGACUGGUGCAGGAGGAACGACACAAGCUCUCUGCUCAUGUCUACGCCAAGUCCCCGGCGCAAAAGGGAGUCCAACCACCUUGAGCGUGCCCACCUGUGUGUCCUGCCAGCUCCCGGGUGAUGUGCACGCUGCCCUCGGGGGUUCUCAGGCUGUAGAUGGAGCAGAUGUUGUCCAGACCUCCGCAGGCCACAAAGUUGCUGGAGGGGGCGUAGGCACACGUCAUCACCCAGGAGGAUCGCAGCGGGAUGGCGUGGAGCUGGGGAGGAAGACCAGGACUUGCUGUGCCAGGGCUUUGAAAAGAAUAAGGAGGAGCUCUCAGACCUUGUUGGUGGUGUGGCUGUCCCAGAUGAUCAGCUUCCCAUCCUGCGAGGCGCUGACCAGGAGCCUGGAAGACAGCGAGGACAAGGAUGAAGUGCUGCACAGAUGUUUCUGGAUUCUGAGUCCAUGGGGAAGGCAAAGGAAUUGUCAAAGGAUCUGCGAGCAAAGCCCUUUUCUACCUUCAAGGUACUCAAAGCACUAUUCACCCAUUCACACACACUGAUGGCGGGAGCUGCCAUGCAAGGCCCCAUCAGGAGCGAGGGUGAAGUGUCUUGCUCAAGGACACAACGGACAUGACGAGUGCUUCGUCGUGCUUCUGACUGCUCUACUGGGAUUUGUUUGUUGUCUGCGGUGCAUGCAGCCUUUGCAAAAGGACAAACCAAGGUGGCGUCGACAUGACCAGGAGUCCCAACAUCCAGAUCGUCGAGGAAAUAACCCUGCCUGGUGAGUCCAGUAAGACUGGUUAGCACCACUUCCUUCCUGGCAGCCAUUCAAUGAGCGUUAAUUAUAUAAGACAGGACAACUAUGAGGAAAAUACACUUACAUAACAACGUACAGUCGGGACGUAAAAAAAAACAACGCUGUAUUGACAAAUUUCCCACGAUUAAGAUGACUGUAAAACCCCGAUUGAGAACCGGUGACACUGCAUGCUAGCGCCAGCUUAAAUGCUACCGGAAAAAACGAGAAACAUUAACGCCUUUUCCCUUUGAAGUCUAAACCUGUACCAGCUGAAUGUGUUCAGACUGUGUUGUCUUCAGGCAACCUUUUUGGCUGAGAAAGCCAUGAAGGCCAAAUAUUUAAAAAACUUAUUUCCGUGAGAGCCAUAUAAUAUUUUGGUAAUACUUUGAUAUCUGCGGGCUAUAGAGCGUUUUCCGUUCGGGCUCCAGUACUCUGGAAUGCCCUCCCGGUAACAGUUCGAGAUGCUACCUCAGUAGAAGCAUUUAAGUCUCACCUUAAAACUCAUCUGUAUACUCUAGCCUUUAAAUAGACCUCCUUUUUAGACCAGUUGAUCUGCCGCUUCUUUUCUUUCUCCUAUGUCCCCCCCUCCCUUGUGGAGGGGGUCCGGUCCGAUGACCAUAGAUGAAGUACUGGCUGUCCAGAGUCGAGACCCAGGAUGGACCGCUCGCCUGUGUAUCGGUUGGGGACAUCUCUACGCUGCUGAUCCGCUUGAGAUGGUUUCCUGUGGACGGGACUCUCGUUGCUGUCUUGGAUCCGCUUGAACUGAACUCUCGCGGCUGUGUUGGAGCCACUAUGGAUUGAACUUUCACAGUAUCAUGUUAGACCCGCUCGACAUCCAUUGCUUUCGGUCCCCUAGAGGGGGGGGUUGCCCACAUCUGAGGUCCUCUCCAAGGUUUCUCAUAGUCAGCAUUGUCACUGGCGUCCCACUGGAUGUGAAUUCUCCCUGCCCACUGGGUGUGAGUUUUCCUUGCCCUUUUGUGGGUUCUUCCCAGGAUGUUGUAGUCGUAAUGAUUUGUGCAGUCCUUUGAGACAUUUGUGAUUUGGGGCUAUAUAAAUAAACAUUGAUUGAUUGAUUGAUUGAUUGAUAUGGGGAACAUAUUCACCAUUAAUUAAUUGCUUAUUAACAUGCAAAUUCGUAACAUAUUGGCUCUUAAUUUGUCAUGUUUAAGUACUUAUUAAUACCUUUUUCUGCAUGGCCUUAUUUUACAAGCAGUAAGCCAUUAACU